UGAAACUGAAAACCUCCAGGAAAUUGAGUGGACAUACCACAUGCAACAUCCAAGGGAAAGCUAUCAACCUCCUUACUACAGUGACUGCAACAGAAUUUGUCAGCAAGGGCAGAAUGGAGGUUACGUUAAGUGCUCUGCAAAUGAAGCUCUUCUCUGAGCAGCAGCUGUAAGCAAACGAGGAAGUCGAGAUGGGAUCACUGUUCGUCACCUACAAUGAUCUUCAGGGUACCUGUGGAAUGCCUCUCAAAAUGUUUUGAAGAGUACAUCAAUCAGAACAGAGUAAGACUCAACUCAAGCAUUUUUAGAUGUAAUUUACAUUCAGAAUGUGGAAGACUGAUGCAUUUCUAGUCUUGGAAGAAAUGAUGAAAAACCAAAAAGUAAAGGGAAUGUGAAACUCA
rnacentral:lncRNA from 1 species